GAUGAACGCUGGCGGCGCGCCUAACACAUGCAAGUCGAACGGAAACUUGAAUUUCGGUCUAAGUUUUAGUGGCGAACGGGUGAGUAACGCGUGAGAAACCUACCUCUCAGUGGGGGACAACAGUUGGAAACGACUGCUAAUACCGCAUAACAUUAUCGAAGGGCAUCCUUUGAUAAUCAAAGCUUUAUGUGCUGAGAGAUGGUCUCGCGUCUGAUUAGCUGGAUGGCGGGGUAACGGCCCACCAUGGCGACGAUCAGUAGCCGGUCUGAGAGGAUGAACGGCCGACAUUGGGUACGUGAGAUACGGCCCAG
rnacentral:rRNA from 1 species